GCUAGAGUAUGGGAGAGGAUGGUAGAAUUCCAGGUGUAGCGGUGAAAUGCGUAGAGAUCUGGAGGAAUACCGAUGGCGAAGGCAGCCAUCUGGCCUAAUACUGACGCUGAGGUACGAAAGCAUGGGGAGCAAACAGGAUUAGAUACCCUGGUAGUCCAUGCCGUAAACGAUGUCUACUAGCCGUUGGGUCCUUUGAGGACUUAGUGGCGCAGCUAACGCGAUAAGUAGACCGCCUGGGGAGUACGGUCGCAAGACUAAAACUCAAAUGAAUUGACGGGGGCCCGCACAAGCGGUGGAGCAUGUGGUUUAAUUCGAUGCAACGCGAAGAACCUUACCUGGCCUUGACAUACUAGAAACUUUCCAGAGAUGGAUUUGGUGCCUUCGGGAAUCUAGAUACAGGUG
rnacentral:rRNA from 1 species